GCGUGGGGGCCACCCCCUCGUCGCCUUGUAGGUGGGUGGGUGAGGAGGUGGCUAUGCGAUGCGUGUCGGUGGGCUGGGUUGUCGUCGUGUGUGUGCGCGCGUGUGUGUGUGUGUGAGAGGGGUGGGGCAUGAGAAAGCGCGGUAAAUUUCGGGUGUGCGGCGCGCCAAGGCUGACCUAUAUAGCGCAGAGCUCACUGGUGGUGCUGCUGCUGCUGUUCUUCGCCUGCACCGCCCAGCCUGCAUCCCAUUGAUCAGCAAUUGGUUCCUGGCUGUGUGCAGUUGAGCAUCCACCGCACUUUAAAUCGACGCGUUUCGUCCUAGCCGCUCGCUCUCUCUCUCUCUGCGCGCGCUCACCUCCCUAGCCCGUUCAGAGUCCGCACCCAUCUCGCCUUCGCAGACGUUUUAAAAGCCGCCGAGCUCACAAGUAACAAUGGUAAGUAUUAACACGUGACGACAAACGCAACUUCGUGGAAGUUGCUGGCCCUCUUGUGAAGAAGGGUCGCGCGCAAAGCCGAAGAGGCUUGCGCGAGUCCGUUGGUUGUCCGACGUUUCGGCAGGAGCUCUUGGUCGCGCCCUGCGAGUUGUUUGUCACAAGGCGAUUACAAAAAAAAAAUAAAGUUCGCGUGGACUUCGUGUAGCUGCUGUUCAUCAAAGGCGUUUCCGCGGGUGUAAUAAGACGGUCCUUUUGGGAGCACAAGCAAUUUCAUGCGGUGGCACCACGCAGACAGAACGGGCAUGGCAGGCGAGACGGACGGGUGUCCGAGUCUCUGUGAUCCCACUGUGCCGAAGCGCCACCAAAUGCCCAUCAGACCUCGGCCAGUCUGGCAUGCGAGGGAACACGCAAGCUUGCCUCGCCACACACAGAAGGAAAACCAUUGUUUGGAGUCGACGGUCCAGAAAUCCCUGCACCCAAUGCUGAGGAAAAGCCUCGGCCUGGCAACGACUUCGCAGUGCAAGCUCAACGGGGCGGC